UACAGAGGUGCAAGCGUUGUUCGGAAUUAUUGGGCGUAAAGCGCGUGUAGGCGGCUUUGCAAGUCGGGUGUGAAAGCCCUCAGCUCAACCUGAGGAAAGUGCGGCCCGAAACUGCAUGGCUUGAGUAACCGGAGAGGAUGGUGGAAUUCCCCGAAGUAGAGGUGAAAUUCGUAAGAUAUUGGGAAGAACACCAGUGGCGAAGGCGGCUAACUGGUCCAGACUCUGACGCUGAGGUGCGAAAGCGUGGGGAGCAAACAGG
rnacentral:rRNA from 1 species